rnacentral:rRNA from 1 species
GUGCCAGCAGCCGCGGUAAUACGGAGGGUGCAAACGUUGCUCGGAAUCAUUGGGCGUAAAGCGCACGUAGGCGGCGGCAUAAGCGGAAUGUGAAAGCCCAGGGCUCAACCCUGGAAGUGCAUCCCGAACUGUGUCGCUUGAAUCUCGGAGGGGGACAGAGAAUUCCCGGUGUAGAGGUGAAAUUCGUAGAUAUCGGGAGGAAUACCAGUGGCGAAGGCGCUGUCCUGGACGAAGAUUGACGCUGAGGUGCGAAAGCGCGGGGAGCAAACAGGAUUAGAUACCCUGGUAGUCC